rnacentral:rRNA from 1 species
UACGAACUGUGCGAACGUUAUUCGGAAUCACUGGGCUUACAGGGUGCGUAGGCGGCUUGUUAAGUAGGGUGUGAAAGCCCCCGGCUCAACCGGGGAAUUGCGCCCUAAACUGGCGAGCUGGAGUGAGAUAGGGGUGUGUGGAACUUCCGGUGGAGCGGUGAAAUGCGUUGAUAUCGGAAGGAACGCCGGUGGCGAAAGCGACACACUGGAGCUUGUCUGACGCUGAGGCACGAAAGCCAGGGGAGCGAACGGG